CCUUUCAACAUUUGGGUCACUAAAUUUGAAAUUGAUAGGGUCACACUCCUAAACUGGUGAAGAACUUUUUCAAUAUUGUUUUCUUUUUCUUAAUUACAAGACUCGAAAUCAAAACCUUAUUUAAGAGAUAUUAAACUUGACCUAACAGAUACUGGGUUAGAUGUGCCAUUGCUGCUUUGUCUACCAGCUUUCUGGUACUAAAGAUGAAUAGUUUUGGG
rnacentral:lncRNA from 1 species